rnacentral:misc_RNA from 1 species
UUUCCGUAGGUGAACCUGCGGAAGGAUCAUUAAAGAGAUUAUGCCCUCACGGGUAGACCUACCACCCUUUGUUUACAAUACCUUUGUUGCUUUGGCGGGCCCGUUUGGCCCCGCGCUGAACAACCGGCCCCGGCGGGUCAGUGCCCGCCAGAGAACCGAAAACUCUGAAUUAAAUGUCGUCUGAGUACUAUGUAAUAGUUAAAACUUUCAACAACGGAUCUCUUGGUUCUG